AUGCCAUUCAAUGUGGGAGUUGCUGCUUGCGAUCACUGGAUCAGAGAUUCAGUGAUUGUGAGGUUCAUCGCUUUGGCCUCUGUUGCACAUGGGUCUGGAGCCUGUGACUGUGAGCUUUUGUCACCGGACCACACUUUUUCUAUUCAAGCACCCGCCUCCUGGAGAGGAUCCCGCUUCCCUAUCCAAACCUACUUUACGUCAUAUCUGAUCCUACGUGGCAUGCGAGGCAUCACCUUGAGGCUGUGCAUAUACUUGCCAAGCUCGCCGCCGCCGCCGCCGUCUUCUCGUCCGUCGCCGCCGUUCCCGUCGCGCUCUGAGCUGCAGCGGCAGGCCGUGUACGGGAUGGGGAAGAGGAAGAGACAGGAGGAGGAGGAGCAAGCGCCGGCGGCAGAGCGCCUGCCCAUCGAGAUCCUGUCGAGGGUGGUCGACCCCUCUCUCCCUUUCUUGGGGAACUACGAGAAUGCCAUUCUCCUGAACUGCUGCGGCGGCAUUCUCCUGUGCCAAGGCUGGAAUCGGACCAUGGAAGCUCCGGAAUACUUCGUGUGCAACCCUGCAACCAACCGAGAAGAUCUGAGAGACUAUUACAUGACAGUAAGGGUCUACUCAUCUGAUACCGGAGAGUGGGCGUCCACGGCGAGCGGUCGCCGAAUGGUGCCGUAUGGUGGUGAAACAGUAUAUGACUUCUUUAAUGAUGCUCUGCAUUUCACUGCUUAUGAUCUUGGAGAUGAUACACCGGGGAAAGUAAUACCAUCGGUAUUUACAGUGAGCACGGACGGGGUUACUUGGAGGAGGUUUCGAGUCCCAUCUGAAGUUGAAUUUUCUUUCAUUGGGCAGUCUCAGGGGCGCUUAUACGGUAUGGACAUAGAGCAUUUCAUGAUUGCUUGCUAUCAGUUUGGGUGCUCGAAGAUUAUGCUAGUGGACAGUGGACCUUAA
rnacentral:rRNA from 1 species